rnacentral:lncRNA from 12 species
CAAUGUCUCCAUCCCCAUGUAAACACUUUAUUUACAGCUGUCCACAGCAGUAUUCCACUGACUGCUAUACAAUUUCUUUUAUUUCUGCAGAUUAUAACUACCUUUGGUAUUCAGAGAGGAUGUGUAAGCAUAAUUACUGUAACUGGAGAGUAUUACCAUGGUGAUUCCACAAGACUUACAGGAAGGAUCCUGAGGAAUGUACUGAGUUCAGAAGUAUUUACUUCAGCCAAGGUGACCACUGGAAUCAAUCCAGCUCUUUGCUCAUGUUCCUCUUUCCCUGCUGCCACCUUCUGCAGGUGUUGUAAUGUGAGAAACACAGCUGAGCUUCCAACAAACUAUGGAGCUCCAGCAAGUUCAGACACACCAACAGUACCGUAGGGACACACAGGCAGAAAAAAGAGAGUGAGAGUGGGGUUGGAGUCAAUGUUGAGUGUAACAGAGUCAAAUCCUGGUACUGCCCUGCUCCAGGGGAACUGGCCAGCACAGUGGGAAAGUGGAUCCUCCUGCAGAAGAGUAGCUGUGCAUCCUCAGCUCAGAGAGGUUUCUGCAGCAUCCUGCAACAACUGGCAGAGAGCUAAAGGGGGUGGGGAGUGCAGCAGGUGACUGGGAGCAUCUCCCAGAAAAGGUGAAUGCAGGUCACAGACAAGCCUUGGAGGUGAGAGCAGAGGGCACUUUCUAGGUACAGUAAUCAAGAAAGAACAAACAGAGCUUGCAGGAAACCAAGGAGCCAUGGAAAUAUGUUGGACUAGAAAGGAUGACUGAAGCCCAGGCUUCAUCC